rnacentral:rRNA from 1 species
AGUGAACGCUGGCGGUAGGCCUAACACAUGCAAGUCGAACGGCAGCACAGUAAGAGCUUGCUCUUACGGGUGGCGAGUGGCGGACGGGUGAGGAAUACAUCGGAAUCUACUUUUUCGUGGGGGAUAACGUAGGGAAACUUACGCUAAUACCGCAUACGACCUACGGGUGAAAGCAGGGGAUCUUCGGACCUUGCGCGAUUGAAUGAGCCGAUGUCGGAUUAGCUAGUUGGCGGGGUAAAGGCCCACCAAGGCGACGAUCCGUAGCUGGUCUGAGAGGAUGAUCAGCCACACUGGAACUGAGACACGGUCCAGACUCCUACGGGAGGCAGCAGUAGGGAAUAUUGGACAAUGGGCGCAAGCCUGGUCCAGCCAUACCGCGUGGGUGAAGAAGGCCUUCGGGUUGUAAAGCCCUUUUGUUGGGAAAGAAAAGCAGCAGGUUAAUACCCCGCUGUUCUGACGGUACCCAAAGAAUAAGCACCGGCUAACUUCGUG